rnacentral:rRNA from 1 species
AGAGAGAGACAUGCGCGCAUAUCAAUAAGCGGAGGAAAAGAAACUAACAAGGAUUCCCCUAGUAACGGCGAGUGAAGCGGGAAGAGCUCAAAUUUGAAAUCUUAAAGGGUUUCCCUUUACGAAUUGUAGUUUAAAGAAGUGUUUUCUGUUGAGGUUUUGGUAAAAGUUCUUUGGAAUAGGACAUCAUAGAGGGUGAGAAUCCCGUAUUUGACCUUUACUUUCAACUUUGUGAUACACUUUCAAAGAGUCGGAUUGUUUGGGAAUGCAGUCCAAAAUGGGUGGUAAAUUUCAUCUAAAGCUAAAUAUUGGCGAGAGACCGAUAGCGAACAAGUACCGUGAGGGAAAGAUGAAAAGAACUUUGAAAAGAGAGUUAAACAGUACGUGAAAUUGUCAAAAGGGAAGCGUUUGACACCAGUGUUGUUUUUCUGAAAAUCAAUUAAAGAACUGUUUAUGCUAAGUUGUUUAGACUUUAUCAGCUAACUGUUUAGUUUUGAGCUUUUCUUUAAUGCACUUUUCGAGUUAACAAGUCAACAUCAAUUUCUUUUGCUGUAAUAAAGCUUGAGGAAGGUGGCUUGAGAUUCGUCUUAAGUGUUUAUAGCCUCUUGCCUAUGCAGUCGGAGAGAUUGAGGUCUGCAGCGUAGAUCCUUCGGGGCUAAAUGCAUUUGUGCUAAGUUAUAGCAUUUUAUAGACAACUUGUUGACUAUGAUUUGUCUUGUAGCUUACUCGCUUAUGUUAUUUUACCUACGCUUAGGAUGUUGACGCAUGAGAUAUACGC